AAAGAAAAGAAUUAGAGGCAAUCCAGGACUCGUAGCUCACUGGAAGCUGUUCACUGUUGGUUCCCUCUCCCUGAUGUCUGCUUGGACCUGUGACUCCAAGAAGAGAAAGAGGCUGACAGAUAGGUGUGUGCACACACAUCUACACAUAGAGGCACACAGGAGAGAGGUGCAUUUGAAAGCAUUUCUGGCUUACCAACCUGAAAGACUGUGACAUUCAAGAAAACAGCAGACCGGGUACAAGGCAUCUGUG